rnacentral:rRNA from 1 species
GCAAGUCGAGCGAGAUUAAUUUUGAGUUUACUUAAAAUUAUGAAAGCGGCGGACGAGUGAGUAACACGUAAGAACUUGCCCUAUACUCAGGGACAACCGGCCGAAAGGUCGGCUAAUACCGGAUAGUCUCGAAAGAGUAAAGCUACGGCGGUAUAGGAGAGGCUUGCGGUCUAUCAGCUAGUUGGUAAGGUAACUGCUUACCAAGGCUAUGACGGAUAUCUGGUGUGAGAGCAUGACC